rnacentral:ncRNA from 1 species
CAGGUUCACCUCUAUGGUGAUUAAAAGGGAAUCAGGUGAAAAUCCUGGACAGUCCCGCUGCUGUAAGCCGCAAUUAUCCGGUGUGACACAGUAAUUUUCAACAGAGUCACUGAGGCUAUUUCCUUGGGAAGACAGUCAACACCGGCGGCAUAGUCAGAAGACCUGCCUCUUGCA